GCAAAACGCGAAGAACCUUACCAGGUCUUGACAUCCCGCUGACCGCUCUAGAGAUAGAGUUUUCCCUUCGGGGACAGCGGUGACAGGUGGUGCAUGGUUGUCGUCAGCUCGUGUCGUGAGAUGUUGGGUUAAGUCCCGCAACGAGCGCAACCCUUGAUCUUAGUUGCCAGCAUUUAGUUGGGCACUCUAAGGUGACUGCCGGUGAUAAACCGGAGGAAGGUGGGGAUGACGUCAAAUCAUCAUGCCCCUUAUGACCCUGGGCUACACACGUGCUACAAUGGACGGUACAGAGGGUCGCAACCCCGCGAGGGUGAGCAAAUCCCAUAAAACCGUUCUCAGUUCGGAUUGUAGGCUGCAACUCGCCUACAUGAAGCCGGAAUCGCUAGUAAUCGUGGAUCAGCAUGCCACGGUGAAUACGUUCCCGGGUCUUGUACACACCG
rnacentral:rRNA from 1 species